rnacentral:rRNA from 1 species
UACGGAGGGGGUUAGCGUUGUUCGGAAUUACUGGGCGUAAAGCGCGCGUAGGCGGACUAUUAAGUCGGGGGUGAAAUCCCGGGGCUCAACCCCGGAACGGCCUUCGAUACUGGUAGUCUUGAGUUCGAGAGAGGUGAGUGGAAUUCCGAGUGUAGAGGUGAAAUUCGUAGAUAUUCGGAGGAACACCAGUGGCGAAGGCGGCUCACUGGCUCGAUACUGACGCUGAGGUG